AACGACCUUAACGACCUUUCUCAUGAUUCUAUAUCAAAUAAUUAUGUUCAGAAUGUACGUGUACGUCAAACCUAAACCAUUCUUCUUCCUGUUUCUUUCAAUUCCAACUAUCUUCUCAACUCAAACACUGGAUUUCUUCUAUCCAACCCAGAAUUAGCGCUGCUACCCCCCACAGCAGGAACGUCAGCAGAAACUGUGACCAACAUCCUAGCUACCAUGUCCCCCUCGCCCUCAGCUCAGGCGGACUACUCUUCAAUAAACACGGAUUUCUCCGCACAAUUAAUAGGCUAACCAUAGACGGAGUUUUAAUUCCCGGAACCUCGGAGUACUCUGUCGGAGAAAUUGGUCCUUCCUUUUCUACAGACAUGCCCUUUAUUAUCCAACCACACGCUAAUCUAAAGGGGAGAUCUUACUCAGCAAACAUCAAACCUAAUGUAUACCUUCCAAAUAUAAACAUUCAAUAAUUGGCUAAAAGAGACGUACACGUUGUACAUAUUUAGUGUUAUUA